rnacentral:lncRNA from 1 species
AGGCAGUCCCCACGGGGUGGCCACCGAUUUAACAAAAAUGGAGAGAAUUGUUGAGCAUUCUUAUGGAAAAGCCACCACCUCACCUCCAGCCACGCCGAUCUCAGACCGGUGUCAGAGCAGCCAGCCCCUUCCCGUCAGCCCCUUCGGUCUUGCUUUCUAGGGACCGAUGAGAAUCACUGCCUUGGAGCGAGCCUCACAGCAUCUUAGUUAAUGACAGCAUCUCUUGCACCAAAUCCCCGGACUCCGGUGCACCACCUCCCCCGGACAUUAUUGUCAUGGAUCCCAACCCGGUUGCAAACUGGUCUCCCCACUCCAGGCCAUCCUCAAUUCUGCAGCCAAAGAAAUCUUCCUUAUCUGCAGGUCUGGCACGUGACAUCCCUUCCGGCAGCCCCAGUGCUUUCUUAAUGCCGUGAAGACAAAAUUAUGCCCUUACCCAGGUACUCGUCUCCUGCACGAGCCUGUACGUUGCUUGAGUGUAGAAAUGGUUCCAUUCUUUGUACUUCAUGCAUACUUGUGCCCGAUUGACUGUCUGCUUGAAUAAGAUGUUCGCCAGCUUAGCUCUGCACCUGUUCUGGCCUUCCACUGAGCUGGGCCAGCAAAUGCAGCCCGCUCACCGCGCUCUUUGCAGCCAACGACCCUGAUCUCCCAGCUCCAGCCCUUCUGGGUCAUCUGCACCAAGACUGCUUCCUCUUAGCUGCCGACACUCAUACUGGAGGGAGGGUUUCUUUCUGGGCCCGACACCGAAACUGCUGCUGUGGUUUCAGUGUGCCCUAUGUGGGCAGCCCGACAUUGGAUGUGGCUAACCGAGCAUUAACAGGAGCUCUACCUCAGAACACUGGUGGUUCCCUGCCAACAGGGCGUAGUGGAGACCCGCCUGAAUGCUGCAUCAAGAAAACCCAGGUUCAGAUUCUGCUGGCUGUGUGACCUGGGGAAAACCCCUGAACCUCUCGGAUUCGAUUUCCUCAUCCUGUAAAAUGGGGAAUAAUAAAAGUGCCUGACUCACAGAGUUGUUGUGAAGA